ensembl:rRNA 5S_rRNA 5S ribosomal RNA
UUCUAUGGCCAUACGACUCUGACUGUGCCCGAUCUCGUCUGAUCUCAGAAGCUAAGCAGGGUCACGGCUGGUUAGUACUUGGAUGGGAGACCGCCUGGGAAUACUGGGUGCUAUAGGCU